AAAAUAAUCCUACCCUUUGUGAAUUUUGUUUGUUUGAAUAAUUUUUUUUUUAAAAAAUUAUUGGAGUCUUUCCCUUUAGAGUUUGCUUUUGAGUUUGUAAAAGAAUUCGAAAACAUCUAAAGGGGAUGGUCAAUAAUUUUUUUUGAAAAAAGACAUUUUUUAAAAUUAAACUUUUUGUAUUCAUUUGUCUAAAAAUUAUUUUUAUAAUAUAAAAACAACUUUUGACAAUGGAUCUCUUGGUUCUCGCAACGAUGAAGAACGCAGCAAAAUGCGAUAAGUAGUGUGAAUUGCAGAAUACGUGAAUCAUCGAAUCUUUGAACGCAUAUUGCACUUUUUUAGUUUACUAAAAAAGUAUGUCUGUUUGAGUAUCAGUAAAAUAUUCUCAUAAAAAUCAUUGUGUAUUUUUAUGGUUAUGAGUGUUUUACAACGAUACAAGUUGUUUCACUUUAAAUUUUUUUUUAAUAUUGAAAUUUUUCUAAUUUUAAUAAUUAAAAUUGGAUAAAAUUUUCCCGUCAAAAGGAAUAACCUAAACAAUUUUAAACGAUUAAUUUUAGCAAAAUUUUCGUAAAAAAGGAAAAUUUUUAUUAAAAUAACUUGAUCUCAAAUCAGAUAAGAGUACCCGCUGAACUUAAGCAUAUCAAUAAGCGGAGGAAAAGAAACUAACAAGGAUUCCCUUAGUAACGGCGAGUGAAGCGGGAAGAGCUCAAAUUUGAAAUCUUCAAGGUUUUACCUUGACGAAUUGUAGUUUAAAGAAGUGUUUUCUGCUGAAGUUUUGGUAAAAGUUCUUUGGAAUAGGACAUCAUAGAGGGUGAGAAUCCCGUAUUUGACCAUUAUUUUCAGCUUUGUGAUACACUUUCAAAGAGUCGGAUUGUUUGGGAAUGCAGUCCAAAUGGGUGGUAAAUUUCAUCUAAAGCUAAAUAUUGGCGAGAGACCGAUAGCGAACAAGUACCGUGAGGGAAAGAUGAAAAGAACUUUGAAAAGAGAGUUAAACAGUACGUGAAAUUGUCAAAAGGGAAGCGUUUGACACCAGUGUUGUUUUCUCGAAAAUCAAUUAAAAAUGGCUCGAUUUUGUAUUGCUGAGACCUUAAAAGCUCACUGUACAUUUUUCGUGUCUUUUUUAAUGCACUUUUCGUUUAACAAGUCAACAUCAGUUUCUUUUGUUGUAAAAGGGUCAUUGGAAGGUGGCUUUCUUUUCGGAGAAAGUGUUUAUAGCCUUUGGCCUCUGCAAUCGGAGAGACUGAGGUCUGCAGCGUAGACUCUUCGGGGUUAGAUACAUUUGUGCUAAGUUAUAGCUUUUUAUAGACAACUUGUUGACUAUAAUUAGUCUUGUAGCUUACUCGCUUAUGCUAUUUUACCUACGCUUAGGAUG
rnacentral:misc_RNA from 1 species